GCCUGCCUAGCUCAAUUGGAUAGAGCGUCAGACUCUUAUUAGGCAGGUGCAUCUGAAGGCUGCGAGUUCGACCCUCGCGGUGGGCU